UACACAAAGUAUUGGUAUCAUGCUUACCAUGUUGCACAAAAGAAAAUUUUCCAUCAUGAUCAACUGAAGCACAGAGAGGUCCAGUAGCUCAUCCUGAACUAGAACUACUCAUCUCCUGACUCAGAGGUUUUUACCUAGGCCACCAAACUCCCUAAAGUGAAACACUGCAGAAGGAAUGCUCAGAAAGCAAAAUGUAGCAGCCUCUUCCUGAAUGGAACUGGUACUCGCUUUUGUGAGGAAAUUACACAGCUUUUGACUUCAACUUUAAAGCAAAUUCUCUGCUGAAGUUACUACAAGACUGAUUGAUUACCAGAAAAAGAAUUAAUGAGAUUAAAACAAAAUACAUUAUCUCUCACUGUGGAGUCAACUAUUUCUACACAUAUUAAUGGUUUACUCUUCUAAGCUGGAACUGAAUCGCUAAAGACCAUGGAAAGAGAAUAAAUUUGUUUUUCC
rnacentral:lncRNA from 1 species